ACUCCUACGGGAGGCAGCAGUGGGGAAUAUUGGACAAUGGGCGCAAGCCUGAUCCAGCCAUGCCGCGUGUGUGAAGAAGGCCCUCGGGUUGUAAAGCACUUUCAGUGAGGAAGAAAGCUUGUCGGUUAAUACCCGGCAAGGACGACAUCACUCACAGAAGAAGCACCGGCUAACUCCGUGCCAGCAGCCGCGGUAAUACGGAGGGUGCGAGCGUUAAUCGGAAUUACUGGGCGUAAAGCGUGCGUAGGCGGCUUGGUAAGCCGGUUGUGAAAGCCCCGGGCUCAACCUGGGAACGGCAUCCGGAACUGUCAGGCUAGAGUGCAGGAGAGGAAGGUAGAAUUCCCGGUGUAGCGGUGAAAUGCGUAGAGAUCGGGAGGAAUACCAGUGGCGAAGGCGGCCUUCUGGACUGACACUGACGCUGAGGUACGAAAGCGUGGGUAGCAAACAGGAUUAGAUACCCUGGUAGGCGUAGU
rnacentral:rRNA from 1 species